rnacentral:tRNA from 1 species
GCCUACGUAGUUUAACGAGAAUAUAACACUGAAGAUGUUAAGAUGGACCCUGAAAAGUCUCGUAAGCA